rnacentral:tRNA from 1 species
GCCAGCCUGGUGUAGCGGUUUGAGUGCUGGACUAUAACUCUGGAGACCAGGGUUCAAAUCCCUGCUUGGUG